rnacentral:rRNA from 1 species
UGGGGAAUAUUGCACAAUGGGCGCAAGCCUGAUGCAGCCAUGCCGCGUGUGUGAAGAAGGCCUUCGGGUUGUAAAGCGCUUUCAGCGAGGAGGAAGGUGGUGAGCUUAAUACGCUCAUCAAUUGACGUUACUCGCAGAAGAAGCACCGGCUAACUCCGUGCCAGCAGCCGCGGUAAUACGGAGGGUGCAAGCGUUAAUCGGAAUUACUGGGCGUAAAGCGCACGCAGGCGGUUUGUUAAGUCAGAUGUGAAAUCCCCGGGCUCAACCUGGGAACUGCAUUUGAAACUGGCAAGCUAGAGUCUCGUAGAGGGGGGUAGAAUUCCAGGUGUAGCGGUGAAAUGCGUAGAGAUCUGGAGGAAUACCGGUGGCGAAGGCGGCCCCCUGGACGAAGACUGACGCUCAGGUGCGAAAGCGUGGGGCAGCAAACAGGAUUAGAUACCCUGGUAGUCCACGCUGUAAACGAUGUCGAUUUUGGAGGUUGUGCCCUUGAGGCGUGGCUUCCGGAGCUAACGCGUUAAAUCGACCGCCUGGGGAGUACGGCC